rnacentral:misc_RNA from 1 species
UACGUAGGUGGCAAGCGGUGUCCGGAAUUAUUGGGCGUAAAGCGCGCGCAGGCGGUCCUUUAAGUCUGAUGUGAAAGCCCCCGGCUCAACCGUGGAGGGUCAUUGGAAACUGGAAGACUUGAAUGCAGAAGAGGAAAGUGGAAUUCCAUGUGUAGCGGUGAAAUGCGUAGAGAUCGGGAGGAAUACCAGUGGCGAAGGCGACUUUCUGGUCUGUAACUGACGCUGAGGCGCGAAAGCGUGGGGAGCAAACAGG